UGUAAAGGAAUCUGCAUAUUUUUCUUCCUUUCUGUGCCACCGAACUUUAAAGCACUCUUCUUGAUUAAUAAGCAAAUUAAAGACUUAAAUUUCCAGAUUCAUUAGGAUAUAAGCAAUUAUUUCAAGCUUCUGAAAUUGUAAGUAUGGCUUCCAAGAAGUUAUUCAUUAUUGUAUCGGUGGUUUUGUUCAUCUUUUUGGUUCUAUGUUUGGGAACCCAGUCAAGACUACUGGCUGCAGCUGGGACUUCUGAAUCUUCCAUGACUUAUGAGAAGGGUGGGGAGCAUUUGCCGGUUAGAAGUGCACCAGCACAUCAAAAAGCUGAUUUUGCAUGGGGCUUCAACUAUUUAGCUCCUUCUAACUAAUCUACCUAGCUUCACUCCUCUUACAAUUUGAUGUGACCAAGAGCAACUUCAACUAUCAAAAAUCAUAAUUUACCCAAAAAAAAAAGAAAAAAAAGAAAA